ensembl:snRNA U6 U6 spliceosomal RNA
GUACUUGCUUGGGCAGCACAUAUACUAAAAUUAGAAUGAUACAGAGAAGAUUAAUGUGGCCCCUGUGUGAGGGUGAUGCCCAAAUUUAUGAAGCAUCCCACAUUAAA